AGACGACGACGACGACGACGACAACAACAACAACAACAACAACAACAACAACAACAACGACAACAACAACAACAACAACAGCAACAAUAACAACAACAAUAACUAAAACAAUAACAACAACAACAACAAAGACGACGACGAUGGAAACAACGGCGACAAGGUUGACAUCAAUUUCGAUGACGACGACGACUACCAAGACGACGAUGACAGCCACACAACAACAAUAGACACAACAACGACAACAACAACAACAACAACAACAACAACGACAUCAACGACAACAACAACAACAACAACAACAAGGACGACGACGACGACGACAACAACAACAAGAACAAUAAGAAGAACAACAACAACAACAAAAACAACAACGACAACAACAACGAUGAAAACGACGACGACAACAACAAAAAUAAAGAAGACGACGAUGCCGACG
rnacentral:lncRNA from 1 species